rnacentral:rRNA from 1 species
UACGUAGGGUGCGAGCGUUGUCCGGAAUUACUGGGCGUAAAGAGCUCGUAGGCGGUCUGUCGCGUCGGCUGUGAAAACCCGGAGCUCAACUCCGGGCCUGCAGUCGAUACGGGCAGACUGGAGUUCGGCAGGGGAGACUGGAAUUCCUGGUGUAGCGGUGAAAUGCGCAGAUAUCAGGAGGAACACCGAUGGCGAAGGCAGGUCUCUGGGCAUUAACUGACGCUGAGGAGCGAAAGCAUGGGGAGCGAACAGG